UACGUAGGUGGCGAGCGUUAUCCGGAAUUACUGGGCGUAAAGCGCACGCAGGCGGUCUAGCAAGUCUGACGUGAAAGCUCCUGGCUUAACUGGGAGAGGUCGUUGGAAACUGCUGGGCUUGAGGCAAUGAGAGGGGUGUAGAAUUCCCGGUGUAGUGGUGGAAUGCGUAGAUAUCGGGAGGAAUACCAGUGGCGAAAGCGGCACCCUGGCAUUGGCCUGACGCUCAUGUGCGAAAGCGUGGGGAGCGAAC
rnacentral:rRNA from 1 species